rnacentral:lncRNA from 1 species
CCCUUGAGAGUCUCUACUUAAAAGUGGGGAUUAUUAAUGUAAAGCAGCGUGUCAUAUUACCCAGCAGCAAAGCACAUGGCUACAAUGCCCUGGGAUUCUUAAUUCCUCUCAGGAGUCACUUUCACAACAGCACACAAUGCUACUACUUGAGGAGGAGAAAAGGGAAAAAAGAAGAAAAAACCAUGCACUCACAAACAACAAGAA